rnacentral:miRNA from 1 species
UGAGGCAGGAGAAUUGCUUGAACCCAGGAAAUGGAGGUUGCAGUGAGCCGAGAUCCGGCCACUGCACUCCAGCCUGGGUGACAGAGCGAGACUCCGUCUC